rnacentral:rRNA from 1 species
ACACUCCUGCGGGAGGCAGCAGUGGGGAAUUUUGGACAAUGGGCGAAAGCCUGAUCCAGCAAUGCCGCGUGAGUGAAGAAGGCCUUCGGGUUGUAAAGCUCUUUUGUCAGGGAAGAAACGGUGAGAGCUAAUAUCUCUUGCUAAUGACGGUACCUGAAGAAUAAGCACCGGCUAACUACGUGCCAGCAGCCGCGGUAAUACGUAGGGUGCAAGCGUUAAUCGGAAUUACUGGGCGUAAAGCGUGCGCAGGCGGUUUUGUAAGUCUGAUGUGAAAUCCCCGGGCUCAACCUGGGAAUUGCAUUGGAGACUGCAAGGCUAGAAUCUGGCAGAGGGGGGUAGAAUUCCACGUGUAGCAGUGAAAUGCGUAGAUAUGUGGAGGAACACCGAUGGCGAAGGCAGCCCCCUGGGUCAAGAUUGACGCUCAUGCACGAAAGCGUGGGGAGCAAACAGGAUUAGAUACCCUGGUAGUCCCA